ensembl:snoRNA LOC120097613 small nucleolar RNA SNORA17
UCUGCCCCUAGAAGCAUUGCCGGCGUGGCUGCUGUGUCACAUGUGUGUCCAUAGGCAGAGAGGAGAGAGGCUAUGUCUAAGCUCGGUAGGCUAUGAACAUCUGAAUAAUUUAGUACCCUAACAUU